rnacentral:rRNA from 1 species
GAUGGACGCUGGCGGCGCGCCUAACACAUGCAAGUCGAACGGAGUCCAGCCUUUAAGACCUUCGGGUCAAAGAGGGGAAGACUGAGUGGCGGACGGGUGAGUAACACGUGGGCAACCUGGCUCAUAGAGGGGGAUAACAGAGAGAAAUUUCUGCUAAUACCGCAUAAGCACACACUGCCGCAUGGCAGAGGGUGAAAAGAGAAUCGCUAUGAGAUGGACCCGCGUCUGAUUAGCCAGUUGGCAGGGUAAGAGCCUACCAAAGCGACGAUCAGUAGCCGAUCUGAGAGGAUGAACGGCCACAUUGGGACUGAGACACGGCCCAAACUCCUACGGGAGGCAGCAGUGGGGGAUAUUGCACAAUGGGGGGAACCCUGAUGCAGCGACGCCGCGUGAGUGAAGAAGUAUUUCGGUAUGUAAAGCUCUAUCAGCAGGGAAGAUAAUGACAGUACCUGAAUAAGAAGCCCCGGCUAACUACGUG